rnacentral:rRNA from 1 species
GCAAGUCGAGCGCACCCUUCGGGGCGAGCGGCGGACGGGUUAGUAACGCGUGGGAAUAUACCCUUCACUAUGGAAUAGCCUUUGGAAACGAAGAGUAAUACCAUAUACGCCCUUCGGGGGAAAGAUUUAUCGGAGAAGGAUUGGCCCGCGUUAGAUUAGAUAGUUGGUGGGGUAACGGCCUACCAAGUCACCGAUCUAUAGCUGGUUUGAGAGGAUGAUC